rnacentral:rRNA from 1 species
UACGAAGGGGGCUAGCGUUGCUCGGAAUCACUGGGCGUAAAGCGCACGUAGGCGGAUUGCUAAGUCAGGGGUGAAAUCCUGGAGCUCAACUCCAGAACUGCCUUUGAUACUGGCGAUCUUGAGUCCGGGAGAGGUGAGUGGAACUGCGAGUGUAGAGGUGAAAUCGUAGAUAUUCGCAAGAACACCAGUGGCGAAGGCGGCUCACUGGCCCGGUACUGACGCUGAGGUGCGAAAGCGUGGGGAGCAAACAGG